GGCUACUACAUCCAAGGAAGGCAGCAGGCGCGCAAAUUACCCAAUCCCGACACGGGGAGGUAGUGACAAUAAAUACUGAUACAGGGCUCUUUUGGGUCUUGUAAUUGGAAUGAGUACAAUUUAAAUCCCUUAACGAGGAACAAUUGGAGGGCAAGUCUGGUGCCAGCAGCCGCGGUAAUUCCAGCUCCAAUAGCGUAUAUUAAAGUUGUUGAGGUUAAAAAGCUCGUAGUUGAACCUUGGGCCCGGCCCGUCGGUCCGCCUCACCGCGUGCACUGACUGGGUCGGGCCUUUCUUUCUGGAGAACCGCAUGCCCUUCACUGGGUGUGUCGGGGAACCAGGACUUUUACCGUGAACAAAUCAGAUCGCUUAAAGAAGGCCUAUGCUCGAAUGUACUAGCAUGGAAUAAUAGAAUAGGACGUGUGGUUCUAUUUUGUUGGUUUCUAGGACCGCCGUAAUGAUUAAUAGGGACAGUCGGGGGCAUCAGU
rnacentral:rRNA from 1 species